rnacentral:rRNA from 1 species
GGUUAAGCGACUAAGCGUACACGGUGGAUGCCCUGGCAGUCAGAGGCGAUGAAGGACGUGCUAAUCUGCGAUAAGCGUCGGUAAGGUGAUAUGAACCGUUAUAACCGGCGAUUUCCGAAUGGGGAAACCCAGUGCAAUUCGUUGCACUAUCGUUAACUGAAUACAUAGGUUAACGAGGCGAACCGGGGGAACUGAAACAUCUAAGUACCCCGAGGAAAAGAAAUCAACCGAGAUUCCCCCAGUAGCGGCGAGCGAACGGGGAGCAGCCCAGAGUCUGAAUCAGCUUGUGUGUUAGUGGAACGGUCUGGAAAGUCCGACGGUACAGGGUGAUAGUCCCGUACACCAAAAUGCACAGGCUGUGAACUCGAAGAGUAGGGCGGGACACGUGGUAUCCUGUCUGAAUAUGGGGGGACCAUCCUCCAAGGCUAAAUACUCCUGACUGACCGAUAGUGAACCAGUACCGUGAGGGAAAGGCGAAAAGAACCCCGGCGAGGGGAGUGAAAAAGAACCUGAAACCGUGUACGUACAAGCAGUGGGAGCACCUUCGGGUGUGACUGCGUACCUUUUGUAUAAUGGGUCAGCGACUUAUAUUCUGUAGCAAGGUUAACCGUAUAGGGGAGCCGCAGGGAAACCGAGUCUUAACUGGGCGUUAAGUUGCAGGGUAUAGACCCGAAACCCGGUGAUCUAGCCAUGGGCAGGUUGAAGGUUGGGUAACACUAACUGGAGGACCGAACCGACUAAUGUUGAAAAAUUAGCGGAUGACUUGUGGCUGGGGGUGAAAGGCCAAUCAAACCGGGAGAUAGCUGGUUCUCCCCGAAAGCUAUUUAGGUAGCGCCUCGUGAACUCAUCUUCGGGGGUAGAGCACUGUUUCGGCUAGGGGGUCAUCCCGACUUACCAACCCGAUGCAAACUACGAAUACCGAAGAAUGUUAUCACGGGAGACACACGGCGGGUGCUAACGUCCGUCGUGAAGAGGGAAACAACCCAGACCGCCAGCUAAGGUCCCAAAGUCAUGGUUAAGUGGGAAACGAUGUGGGAAGGCACAGACAGCCAGGAUGUUGGCUUAGAAGCAGCCAUCAUUUAAAGAAAGCGUAAUAGCUCACUGGUCGAGUCGGCCUGCGCGGAAGAUGUAACGGGGCUAAACCAUGCACCGAAGCUGCGGCAGCGACACUAUGUGUUGUUGGGUAGGGGAGCGUUCUGUAAGCCUGCGAAGGUGUGCUGUGAGGCAUGCUGGAGGUAUCAGAAGUGCGAAUGCUGACAUAAGUAACGAUAAAGCGGGUGAAAAGCCCGCUCGCCGGAAGACCAAGGGUUCCUGUCCAACGUUAAUCGGGGCAGGGUGAGUCGACCCCUAAGGCGAGGCCGAAAGGCGUAGUCGAUGGGAAACAGGUUAAUAUUCCUGUACUUGGUGUUACUGCGAAGGGGGGACGGAGAAGGCUAUGUUAGCCGGGCGACGGUUGUCCCGGUUUAAGCAUGUAGGCUGAUUGUCCAGGCAAAUCCGGAUAAUCAAGGCUGAGGUGUGAUGACGAGGCACUACGGUGCUGAAGUAACAAAUGCCCUGCUUCCAGGAAAAGCCUCUAAGCAUCAGGUAACAUUAAAUCGUACCCCAAACCGACACAGGUGGUCAGGUAGAGAAUACCAAGGCGCUUGAGAGAACUCGGGUGAAGGAACUAGGCAAAAUGGUGCCGUAACUUCGGGAGAAGGCACGCUGGUGUGUAGGUGAAGUCCCUGCGGAUGGAGCUGAGACCAGUCGAAGAUACCAGCUGGCUGCAACUGUUUAUUAAAAACACAGCACUGUGCAAACACGAAAGUGGACGUAUACGGUGUGACGCCUGCCCGGUGCCGGAAGGUUAAUUGAUGGGGUUAUCCGUAAGGAGAAGCUCUUGAUCGAAGCCCCGGUAAACGGCGGCCGUAACUAUAACGGUCCUAAGGUAGCGAAAUUCCUUGUCGGGUAAGUUCCGACCUGCACGAAUGGCGUAAUGAUGGCCAGGCUGUCUCCACCCGAGACUCAGUGAAAUUGAACUCGCUGUGAAGAUGCAGUGUACCCGCGGCAAGACGGAAAGACCCCGUGAACCUUUACUAUAGCUUGACACUGAACAUUGAGCCUUGAUGUGUAGGAUAGGUGGGAGGCUUUGAAGCGUGGACGCCAGUCUGCGUGGAGCCAACCUUGAAAUACCACCCUUUAAUGUUUGAUGUUCUAACGUUGGCCCCUUACCGGGGUUGCGGACAGUGUCUGGUGGGUAGUUUGACUGGGGCGGUCUCCUCCCAAAGCGUAACGGAGGAGCACGAAGGUUAGCUAAUCCUGGUCGGACAUCAGGAGGUUAGUGCAAUGGCAUAAGCUAGCUUGACUGCGAGCGUGACGGCGCGAGCAGGUGCGAAAGCAGGUCAUAGUGAUCCGGUGGUUCUGAAUGGAAGGGCCAUCGCUCAACGGAUAAAAGGUACUCCGGGGAUAACAGGCUGAUACCGCCCAAGAGUUCAUAUCGACGGCGGUGUUUGGCACCUCGAUGUCGGCUCAUCACAUCCUGGGGCUGAAGUAGGUCCCAAGGGUAUGGCUGUUCGCCAUUUAAAGUGGUACGCGAGCUGGGUUUAGAACGUCGUGAGACAGUUCGGUCCCUAUCUGCCGUGGGCGCUGGAGAAUUGAGGGGGGCUGCUCCUAGUACGAGAGGACCGGAGUGGACGCAUCACUGGUGUUCGGGUUGUCAUGCCAAUGGCACUGCCCGGUAGCUAAAUGCGGAAGAGAUAAGUGCUGAAAGCAUCUAAGCACGAAACUUGCCCCGAGAUGAGUUCUCCCUGAGACUUUAAGUCUCCUGAAGGAACGUUGAAGACGACGACGUUGAUAGGCCGGGUGUGUAAGCGCAGCGAUGCGUUGAGCUAACCGGUACUAAUGAACCGUGAGGCUUAACCUU